UCCCAGACUCCUACGGGAGGCAGCAGUGGGGAAUAUUGGGCAAUGGGCGAAAGCCUGACCCAGCAAUGCCGCGUGAAUGAAGAAGGUCUUAGGAUUGUAAAAUUCUGUCCUAUGGGAAGAAACAAAUGACGGUACCAUAGGAGGAAGCCCCGGCUAACUACGUGCCAGCAGCCGCGGUAAUACGUAGGGGGCGAGCGUUAUCCGGAUUUACUGGGUGUAAAGGGAGCGUAGACGGUUCUGCAAGUCUGAAGUGAAAGCCCGUGGCUUAACCGCGGAACGGCUUUGGAAACUGUGGAACUGGAGUGCUGGAGAGGCAAGCGGAAUUCCUAGUGUAGCGGUGAAAUGCGUAGAUAUUAGGAGGAACACCAGUGGCGAAGGCGGCCUGCUGGACUGCAACUGACGUUGAGGCCCGAAAGCGUGGGGAGCAAACAGGAUUAGAUACCCCCGUA
rnacentral:rRNA from 1 species